rnacentral:lncRNA from 1 species
AAUGGGCGAAGCCCUUUUUUCUUACGGCCGGGAGAAUAAAUAAGUUUUUUCUUUUAAAAAAAAGAAAGAAAUUAAUUUCUUAGUUCUAGGAUUAGAAAAAUAAAAAAGAAAACCUAAAGCAUAGAUAUGAGUUUGGUAUAGUCGAUGGCGCAAGCAGUAGGAAGAAAAACUAUAGAGCUCUUUGGAGGAGUUGAAGUCAUCUGAAAUCAAGAGCUAUAAAAGUGGACAUCUCUUGCAACUUAAUAUUGGUAUCCAGGUAUAUUAUUAAGUUCACCAUAUGGCUAAAUUUCUUGGAUAAAUUGAGGAGAAAUAAUCAUCAUGUUAUCCAUUUGUGAUUAUGACGAGAAUUGAAUUGGAAAAUAAAGGGAUCUGCACAUUGUUAUAGUUGUGAAGCUUUAGGAAUAUAAAUAUAAUUCAAUAAUAGAAACACCUCUUUAAUAAUGGACGAAUUAAGCUCUUAAGAUUUCAUCCUUGGAGACAAACUAAUGUACAUAGGGAAUCUAUCUCAUACUUUUGCAUACAAAGUUUGAUUAGUUAUAUUAUAUGUUCAUAUAAUACUUCACACUUCUGUAUAGGACACGUAUAUGUGUCAAAUCAACUUUCUGUCAAAUGAUACUUAGAGUUAAUUUUUCUUCAGCCGAAUGCGUGCUUGAAUAUAUGUAACUGAAGGUUAGCAGGUCAUAUAUAUUGAGUAACGUAACGUAUGUGUAUUUUAGGAUUGAGACAUUAUUUCAUUUUUGGAUUCAUGAUUUAAGGGAAGGCUAAGAUGUAGCUCUAAUUAAGCCUGCAAUUAAGAAAUAUUAGGAUUUGACGCGGACUAGCAUAAUUGACAUCGUUAAUUAAUUUUGUGGAUAGAUUGAGGGAAUUGGAGGAUGUUUGGUUGGUGUUCUAGAUGUCGCAAGAUUGGGGAACUUAAUUUUAGUGAGGUGAGUGAGACUUUAAGUUUUGAUACUUGCUUUUUUCAAAAUCCCGUUUUAAAAAUAUAUUUUCUCUGUCUGGUCCAUGUGUUGGGACAAGCGUGCGCUUGGCAGAAUAGGUGGUCUUAGACUAGCCACAAAUAUAUUAUUUUAUAAAAAAUACAAAAAAAAAAUAAUAAUUUAUAAGUUGUUUGAUGGCGUGAUACGGUUGUGAGCCAUGAUGUUGAGUUUGAUAGUUUGAUACGGCUGUNNNNNNNNNNNNNNNNNNNNNNNNNGGGGUAUUGUGUAUGCUAUGUUACAUAUUUAAGGCAUUGUGGUGCAGUCGUGGACUCGUAGAGAUGCUGGUUAAUUUCUUUCACUGUAGUUAUGGCAAGUCCUUAGUGUGUAUUGUGUUAAGAUAUGAGUACUCUUGUUGGUUAAUUCUUAUUAACUCUGUUGAUACAUAUUGUGUUAUUGUAUAAUCGUCGUAUUUAUUAUAUCGUUCUUGUUGUGGUGUGUUUGUAUUUUCUAACACUUUUUAAAAGGGUAUUCAAAGUAGCGAGUCGAGGAUCUUACUGAGUUAUAUUUAUGUAUAACUCACUCCUUACAUGCAUGUCUAUACAGAUAACAUUAUUGAGGUGAACCACUACAUUGUUCGUGGAGGCUGUCAAAAGAGUGCUUAUCAUUUAUUUAUAUGAUGUCUUUUAUUUUGGGGUUUACACACCCGAUCUUGAGUCUUUUAUAAUUCUCUUAGAUGCUCUAUUGUCUAGUGUGGGAUUUGGGCUAGAGUAUAGUUCCUCCAUUUUGGUUAUUACUAUUCAUAAAUAUUUAUGGAAUAAUUUUGAUCAUUAAUCAUUCGCAUUUAAUCAUUGAAAUGUUAGGAACUUGUAUUUAGUUAGUUGAGCUUUG